rnacentral:rRNA from 1 species
GACGAACGCUGGCGGCGUGCCUAGUACAUGCAAGUCGAACGCUUCUUUCCUCCCGAGUGCUUGCACUCAAUUGGAAAGAGGAGUGGCGGACGGGUGAGUAACACGUGGGUAACCUACCCAUCAGAGGGGGAUAACACUUGGAAACAGGUGCUAAUACCGCAUAACAGUUUAUGCCGCAUGGCAUAAGAGUGAAAGGCGCUUUCGGGUGUCGCUGAUGGAUGGACCCGCGGUGCAUUAGCUAGUUGGUGAGGUAACGGCUCACCAAGGCCACGAUGCAUAGCCGACCUGAGGGGGUGAUCGGCCACACUGGGACUGAGACACGGCCCAGACUCCUACGGGAGGCAGCAGUAGGGAAUCUUCGGCAAUGGACGAAAGUCUGACCGAGCAACGCCGCGUGAGUGAAGAAGGUUUUCGGAUCGUAAAACUCUGUUGUUAGAGAAGAACAAGGACGUUAGUAACUGAACGUCCCCUGACGGUAUCUAACCAGAAAGCCACGGCUAACUACGUGCCAGCCGCCGCGGUAA